rnacentral:misc_RNA from 1 species
UUUCCGUAGGUGAACCUGCGGAAGGAUCAUUACCGAGUUUUGGUACCCUUUGGGUACCAGCUCCCACCAAUUGUGAACCUUUUUCGUUGCCUCGGCGUACCUGAUGGUACCCAUCCUCUGGCCUUCCAGCUGGGGAGUGUACGCCGAUGGAUUUUCAAACCCGAUUUUAACUUUGAAAUCUGAGUAAACACAAAAUAAAAACAAAACUUUCAACAACGGAUCUCUUGGUUCUGGCAUCGAUGAAGAACGCAGC